rnacentral:rRNA from 1 species
GAUGAACGCUGGCGGCGUGCCUAAUACAUGCAAGUCGAGCGAACAGACGAGGAGCUUGCUCCUCUGACGUUAGCGGCGGACGGGUGAGUAACACGUGGAUAACCUACCUAUAAGACUGGGAUAACUUCGGGAAACCGGAGCUAAUACCGGAUAAUAUAUUGAACCGCAUGGUUCAAUAGUGAAAGACGGUUUUGCUGUCACUUAUAGAUGGAUCCGCGCCGCAUUAGCUAGUUGGUAAGGUAACGGCUUACCAAGGCAACGAUGCGUAGCCGACCUGAGAGGGGAAUCGGCCCCCCGGGAACGAAGAACCGGCCCAGACCCCUCGGGGAGGCAGCAGGGGGGAAUCUUCCGAAAGGGGCGAAAGCCUGACGGAGCAACGCCGCGUGAGUGAUGAAGGUCUUCGGAUCGUAAAACUCUGUUUUUAGGGAAAAACAAAUGUGUAAGUAACUAUGCCCGUCUGGACGGUACCUAAUCAGAAAGCCCCGGCUAACUACGU